rnacentral:rRNA from 1 species
GGGUGCCCAGGCGCGAAAACUUUACAACGCCGGCAACGGCUAUAAGGGAACCUCGAGUGCCAGGUUACAAAUCUGGCUGUCGUGAUGCCUAAAAAGCAUUGCAUAGCAAGGGCCGGGCAAGACCGGUGCCAGCCGCCGCGGUAACACCGGCGGCUCGAGUGGUAACCGUUAUUAUUGGGUCUAAAGGGUCUGUAGCCGGCCGGGUAAGUCUCUUGGGAAAUCUGGCAGCUUAACUGUCAGGCUUUCAGGAGAUACUGCCUGGCUCGAGGCCGGGAGAGGUGAGAGGUACUUCAGGGGUAGGGGUGAAAUCUUGUAAUCCUUGAAGGACCACCAGUGGCGAAGGCGUCUCACCAGAACGGACCUGACGGCAAGGGACGAAAGCUAGGGGCACGAACCGGAUUAGAUACCCGGGUAGUCCUAGCCGUAAACGAUACUCGCUAGGUGUCGGCCACGGUGCGACCGUGGUCGGUGCCGUAGGGAAGCCGUGAAGCGAGCCACCUGGGAAGUACGGCCGCAAGGCUGAAACUUAAAGGAAUUGGCGGGGGAGCAC